GACGAACGCUGGCGGCGUGCUUAACACAUGCAAGUCGAGCGGUAAGGCUCCUUCGGGAGUACACGAGCGGCGAACGGGUGAGUAACACGUGAGCAAUCUGCCCUUCACACGGGGAUAACCCUCGGAAACGAGAGCUAAUACCCGAUACGACCACUUCAGGCAUCUGAUGGUGGUGGAAAGUUCCGGCGGUGAAGGAUGAGCUCGCGGCCUAUCAGCUUGUUGGUGGGGUAACGGCCCACCAAGGCAACGACGGGCAGCCGGCCUGAGAGGGUGACCGGCAGCACUGGGACUGAGACACGGCCCAGACUCCUACGGGAGGCAGCAGUGGGGAAUAUUGGACAAUGGGCGAAAGCCUGAUUCAGCAACGCCGCGUGAGGGAUGACGGCCUUCGGGUUGUAAACCUCUUUCAGCAGGGACGAAGCGCAAGUGACGGUACCUGCAGAAGAAGCACCGGCCAACUACGUGCCAGCCGCCGCCGUAA
rnacentral:rRNA from 1 species